rnacentral:rRNA from 1 species
GUGUCAGCCGCCGCGGUAAUACGGAGGGUGCAAGCGUUGUUCGGAAUUAUUGGGCGUAAAGCGCGCGCAGGCGGCCUGAAAAGUCUAUGGGUGAAAUGCCGGGGCUCAACCCCGUGUGUGCCCAGGAUACUGUCAGGCUGGAGACACGUAGAGGCAAGCGGAAUUCCGGGUGUAGCGGUGGAAUGCGUAGAGAUCCGGAAGAACACCGGAGGCGAAGGCGGCUUGCUGGGCGUGAUCUGACGCUGAGGCGCGAAAGCGUGGGGAGCGAACAGGAUUAGAAACCCUGGUAGUCC